GACGAGCCACACAAACGUUAUUCGGAAUUACUGGGCUUAAAGGGUGCGUAGGCUGCGCGACAAGUUGGGUGUGAAAUACCUCGGCUCAACCGAGGAACUGCGCCCAAAACUAUCGUGCUCGAGGAAGAUAGAGGUGAGCGGAACUUACGGUGGAGCGGUGAAAUGCGUUGAUAUCGUAAGGAACACCCGUGGCGAAAGCGGCUCACUGGGUCUUAUCUGACGCUGAUGCACGAAAGCUAGGGGAGCAAACGGG
rnacentral:rRNA from 1 species